CCAUCAGAGGAGCAGCGUCCCAGGAGACCCAGCUUUCAUUCUCUUGUCUGUCUUUUCGAAGCCUUUCACCGCCCCCACUCAGGGUCACUGAACCAGGCUGAGCUGGCGUGGCACAUAAGGCGCCCUGGGGCUGAGUAUGCCAUGGCCGUGCGGGCUGGACACAAAAGACCUCCUAUUCUGGGUAAAGCUUCUUGGCCCGUAUCACCUGAGCGACUAUAAAAUAAAAGGCAUCUCUGCCUCCCAUCAUGACCAGUUCCACUGAAAAUAUCCUUUCUCCUACUCUUUACCACAGCAUCUGUCUUCCACAUCGUAUGUUUAAUUUUAAAAAAUAAAUGGAUGUUACACUCUU